rnacentral:rRNA from 1 species
UACGAAGGGGGCUAGCGUUGUUCGGAAUUACUGGGCGUAAAGGGCGCGCAGGCGGUUUGCAUAGUUGGGCGUGAAAGCCCUGGGCUCAACCCAGGAAUUGCGUUCAAUACUCGCAAACUAGAGGAUGGGAGAGGGUGGUGGAAUUCCCAGUGUAGAGGUGAAAUUCGUAGAUAUUGGGAAGAACACCAGUGGCGAAGGCGACCACCUGGACCAUUACUGACGCUGAGGCGCGAAAGCGUGGGGAGCAAACAGG